rnacentral:rRNA from 1 species
AGCUAGGUCUAACAUUGUUAGGUCGUCAGCUUCUUAGAGGGACUAUCGGUGUUUAACCGAUGGAAGUUUGAGGCAAUAACAGGUCUGUGAUGCCCUUAGAUGUUCUGGGCCGCACGCGCGCUACACUGAUGAAGUCAACGAGUAAAUUUCCUUUGUCGAAAGAUAUGGGUAAUCUUCUGAAACUUCAUCGUGAUGGGGAUAGAGCAUUGCAAUUAUUGCUCUUCAACGAGGAAUCCCUAGUAAGCACAAGUCAUCAGCUUGUGUUGAUUACGUCCCUGCCCUUUGUACACACCGCCCGUCGCUACUACCGAUUGAAUGGCUUAGUGAGACCUUCGGAUCGGCAUUCAGAAGUUGGAAACAACAUUUGUUUGCUGAAAAGUUGUUCAAACUUGGUCAUUUAGAGGAAGUAAAAGUCGUAACAAGGUUUCCGUAGGUGAACCUGCGGAAGGAUCAUUAAUGAUUUUUUAAAGCAAACCAAAGCGAAAGCGAAGGUUUUGCGAAUAUAUUUAAAACCCCCACACUUAAAAAAAAAUUUUUUCAUUCAUAAAUAUGAAUAAAAAAGAUCACUUUCAACAACGGAUCUCUUGGCUCUCGCAUCGAUGAAGAACGCAGCGAAAUGCGAUAAGUAGUGUGAAUUGCAGAAUUACGUGAAUCAUCGAAUCUUUGAACGCAAAUUGCACUCUCUGGUAUUCCGGGGAGUAUGCCUGUUUGAGGGUCAUAGUAAACCCAUCGAUUUUCAUUGCUUUUUUUUUUAAGGUGAUGUUUUAUCGGAUUUGGGCCGUCUUUUUUUUUUUAAAAAUAUUAAAGUGGCUUAAAAUUGAUUUUAUCUGGUAUGAUUAAGCGUAUUUUAUGAUCAAUUUUUGAUUUAAGAAACGCGUACGUACCAUCACAUGAUGUAAUACGUUUGACUAUUUGAUUUAGUUCAUUCGUAUACGAUUUUUUUUAAUGCUUGACCUCAAAUCAGGUAAGAAUACCCGCUGAACUUAAGCAUAUCAA